rnacentral:rRNA from 1 species
UGAGGAAUAUUGGGCAAUGCCCGCAAGGGUGACCCAGCAACGCCGCGUGGAGGAUGAAUGUCGUAAGAUUGUAAACUCCUGUUAGAGGGGAAGAAUAGUACCGGUUGGACCGGUAUAUGACUGUACCCUCAGAGAAAGCCCCGGCUAACUACGUGCCAGCAGCCGCGGUAAUACGUAGGGGGCAAGCGUUGUCCGGAUUUACUGGGUGUAAAGGGCGCGCAGGCGGGAUAAAAAGUCAGUGGUGAAAUCCUACAGCUUAACUGUAGAACUGCCUUUGAUACUUUUAUUCUUGAGUUCGGGAGAGAGAGACGGAAUUCCAGGUGUAGUGGUGAAAUACGUAGAUAUCUGGAAGAACACCAGUUGCGAAGGCGGUCUCUUGGUCCGACACUGACGCUGAGGCGCGAAAGCGUGGGGAGCAAA